AGUCACUCAGUGGUGCUUUGCUGUCAAUACAAUCUGCCUCGUCGGAUUUACCACGGUCUUCUAGAUCAACCUCAGAGUAGUGGGGCAAUGGAGGCGUUCUGAUUCUGGUUCAGGCCGUCAUGAACUUAAAGUUAUCGGGCUCAGACAAUAUUUCCUCAUACAUGGCUGCUAUCUCCCGCCUAAAAUCUAAAGCUUUAUCUAUUCUUUUGAAACUCUGUGAAGCUGAAAGUGUAUCAUACCUAGAUGAGGUGGCUAGCAACACAACAACUCAUAAUAUGACAAAGUUGGACUCGAGGUUCUUGCAUUGCUGGUAAAAGCUUGGUAUAGAUUCAAGACAGUUAUAUGCUCCCUCCGAGG